GGGAGGCCGGGAGGGGUCCCUGGGCGGGGAGUUGCUGCGCAUCUGUUGUGUGUGUGCGUCUGUCUGUCUGUUCAGGUCUGUUUUAGGCUGUGUCUGCCUGUCUCUCUGUCUGGGUCUCUUUCAGGCUGCGUCGGUCUGUCUGUCUGGGUCUGUUUCAGGCUGUGUCUGUCUGUCUGUCUGGGUCUGUUUCAGGCUGUGUCUGUCUGUCUGUCCGGGUCUGUUUCAGGCUGUGUCUGUCUGUCUGUCCGGGUCUGUUUCAGGCUGUAUGUGUGUCUGCUCUUUGCUUCUGCUCCUGGCUCUGUGUGUAUUUCCCGGGUCCUGUGG
rnacentral:lncRNA from 1 species